UUUACGGAGAGGGUUUUGAGUAAGCAACACUUGCUGACACUUAUCCUAUUGUUUUUCUACAAUCUUUCCUUUUGUGAAGAUUCUGAAGCAACUACAAUAAAAAUGAAGAUGUUGUUACUACUUAUUGUCUCAUUGGUGCUGACGACCGGGAUAGCUGAAUCGCCGGAAGAAAUUAGGAAUUUGGCCUUUAAACUUUAUGAUUAUCCUGUGGAAUCAGAGGAUCAAUGCACCACUGAAAGAUGCGUCAGUACUUGUACCAAGAUGUUUAACUAUAAAUACGGCAGAUGUUUGGGGGAAAACCUUUGCCACUGCUCUAAUUUUUAAUACAUUUUUAAUCAAAAUCAUUUAGGUAGGUACCUUUCUUACAUUGUAUACUAUCUAUUGAUUAUAAGAAUGACAAAGUAUAAAUUGAAUAAAUAUUAAGUACUUA